CCGGACUCGCGCCAGUCGCGCAGAGCCAGGCAGGCCAAGCAGUGCGCGCUCCGCAGGCACGCGACGCGCUUCACGGCUUUCGGGGCUGUCCAGCCGCCAGCGCGAGCGCGGAGAACGCCGGAGCGCCGAUCAGCCGCGCGGGCCGCUGUCGCUCUGCCGAUACGGCCGGUUUUGCGCGCACGUGCCUCGAGGGAAUGAUACGAACCGCUCGGCGAGUCGAACACCGAGCCGAUCAACAGCCGAAGCAACUGAGAGGAAGGAUGUGCGCGGACUCGGUGCUGCUGCCGCUGCCGCUGGCGGCGAUCGGCUACGAAGGGACGAGCAAGAGAGCGCCGAGCGCGCAAAGAUGAAAGCAGCAACUCGGAAGUACGGGUUGUGUCGUCGAAAUCGCGACGGCUGAUUAUGUCGCGUACUCGCUCCCGCGGUCGUCUCUCUCGUCUCCGUCUGCCCCCCUCUCCCCGGCGCCUCUCGUGCUUCCUCGGAGCGCUGCUGCCACUGCUGCUGAUGCUCCCCUUCAUCCCGGCGAGCCGAUCCGACAUCGAGACUGACGUGCCCUCCCGAGCGACGGCGGCGGCGAUGGCGGCCUGGAGCCCCUCGACGACAUCAGAGCCGACGUCCGGCAACGAGAGCGGCUACGAGUCCGAGAGCGAGUCCCCGUUCGCCGGCUUCGAGGGCUCGCAGAAGUUCCCGAUGAAGCCCACGGCCCGGCCACUCGCCCCCUCGUCCGCCACGAUGUCCGAGAAGUUCGACAGGCGACACUUCAAGCCGCCCAAGCCCGACAGCGAGGGCCCCGGCCAGCUCGAGCCCUCGACCACGGCCGUGCCGGACCUGCCCAAGAGCCCCAGUCGCGAGGUCAUCCACCGUCGCAGGGACGAGGACGUCGAGGGGCUCGAGGAGCUCCCGAUGCUGCCCGGCCAGCAGGCGCGAGCGACGCUCACGACGAUUACGGCGGACCCCCUCGGCGCGCCGCCCGAUAACGAGACGACGACGACGACGAUCGGCAGGCUACUUACCAGCACGGAGGAGCCCGAGGAGGAGUACGACGCGGCCGAGCUCGAGGCUAUCGUCGACGACAAGUUCGACGGGCGAGUCGAGGUCAAGACGGACAUCACGAUUCUCGGGCUAUUCGAGCUAACCCACGCCAACGAGCCGAGGCCCGAGGGCCCGAGUGAGCUGCAGGCUGCCAAGCUUGCCGUCGAGCGCAUCAACCAGAUGGGCUUUCUGCCGGGAUUCAAUCUGCGGCUCGUCUACAACGACACCGAGUGUGAUCCAGGAGUAGCUGUCGAUCGAUUCUUUUAUGCACUCUAUUCUCCGAAAAAAAGUGUGUUAAUGCCACUGUUAUUGGGGACAGCCUGCUCCGAGGUGACUGAGGCCCUGGCGAAAAUUGUACCCUACUGGAACAUAGUGCAAGUCUCAUUCGGUUCUACAACGCCAGCACUUUCCGAUUCAACGGAAUUUCCCUUGUUCAUGCGUACUGUAGCGCCUGACUCCAGCCACAAUUCGGCCAGAAUCUCCUUGAUCAAACACUUUGGUUGGGAUACCGUUACCACACUCUCGCAAACUGGCGAUAUGUAUUCUUUGGCUGUCAACGAUUUGGUCACGGAGCUGGAACAAGCCAACAUUACGUGCACCGCGACGAUUACCUUUGCUGAAAAUGACUACAAAGAUCAGCUGUUUACAUUGAAGGAGCUAGACACGAGAAUAAUUAUCGGCAGCUUUUCACCGCAGCUGGCUCCGAAGGUUCUAUGCGAGGCUUGGCGGCUGGGCAUGCACGGUGGUGAUUACGCCUGGAUUCUGCCGGACGAUACAAUAGACCUGUCCGGAAUGACAGGCGAUUGGUGGCAUGCUGGACAGGAUGACUGCUCUCCUUCUCAACUUUCGCAAACUAUGAAUGGCAUGAUAAUAGUCAAAAGCCACGCGACUGUUUUUGGCGAUGACGCGAGCUACUCGGGUUUGUCCAGUCCUGACUUUACCUCGGAAUUAGCUAAAAAAGGAGUUUCCGUGUCAAGAUUCGCAGCGCAAACUUAUGAUGCUGUGUGGUCAAUGGCAUUAGCGCUCAAGAGGACUGAAUAUAUCUUGAAUAAAAAAAAUAUCAGUAUGACACAAUAUAAUCACACUAGACGCGACUUGGCUGUCAAACUUCUGAAACAACUCAGACGUCUACAUUUUGUCGGAGUUUCGGGACCAGUGUCAUUCGACGGAGCAGACCGUGUUGGAAUAACAGCUUUCUAUCAGAUGCAAGGGCAUUCCAUUCGAAGAAUAGCCGUUUUCACGCCCGAGGACAGGGAGUUGAUAAUGAACUGCCCAGGCUGCGCGGCAACACUUUGGCCCGGAGGACACCCCCCCGCUGCUCGACGAGUAUUCAGGCUGCGAAUCGUAACGGUGGCCCCAGCGGCGUUCCUGGCGAUGGCCUGUCUUGCCAGUGUCGGAAUGACCUUGGCCCUGGCCUUUCUGGCAUUCAACUUGCACUUCCGUCGACACAAGAGCAUAAAAUUGUCCAGUCCCCGGCUGAAUAACAUGGCAGCGGCCGGCUGCGCUCUGGUCUACGGCGCGGUCAUCCUGCUCGGUCUCGAUCACGCGACCCUGCCGGACAGCGACGGCUAUUUCCCUACGAUUUGCACGGCCCGAGUCUACUUACUGUCCGCUGGAUUCUCGCUGGCCUUCGGAUCCAUGUUCACGAAGACGUACAGGGUUCACCGAAUCUUCACGCGGAGCAGGAGCGGCGUUGUUAAGAACAAGCUGCUCCAAGACACCCAGCUGAUCAGCCUGAUCUGCGUGCUCCUGCUGAUCGACGGCCUGGUGGUGACUCUGUGGGUGACGCUGGACCCGAUGCAGCGGCAUUUGCGCAACCUGACCCUCGAGAUAAGCCCGCAAGAUCGGGCUGUCGUUUAUCAGCCGCAGGUGGAGGUUUGCCGGUCUCAGCACACCAACGGAUGGCUCGGCGCUCUCUACGUUUACAAGGGUCUCCUACUCGUCGUUGGAGUUUACAUGGCCUGGGAGACUAGGCACGUCAAAAUCCCCGCUCUGAAUGACUCGCAGUAUAUUGGGAUGAGCGUUUACUCGGUAGUAAUAACGUCGGGGAUUGUGGUGGUUCUGGCGAAUCUCAUGUCCGACCAAGCGACGCUGGCCUUCGUCACCAUAACUUCCCUCAUACUAGCCUCGACGACGUCAACGCUGGCUCUACUCUUUCUGCCGCAACUAGCCCACAUACUCGCUGGCGAGAGGGCCGAUCCCGUGGUUCAAAGCUUAGGCUUGAAAAUCGAAUGCAAUACCAGAAGAUUCGUCACGGAUGACAGGAGAGAGUUACAGUACCGUGUCGAAGUACAAAACAGGGUUUAUCGGCGUGAAAUGGCUCAACUGGAGUUAGAGCUCGCGAGGCUGGAAAAGCAGUUGAGUCAAGAUCCCGUAGAUCCGUCACAUGUUUCUUCGAGUGCGUCGAUUCCUCAGCGAAAUCCAAGUAUAAGUGGUGGUUUGCCUAUGCUCCUGCUCAGCGUUUUACCUCCAGUCAUACCGAGAGCCAGUUGGCCAUCUGCUAAUCCAUCUAGCAUGCGUCGCGGAACCGUAGCGUUUAGCAGUCAGCCGGAUCUGGAGCCGAACGGCCCUCGGCGAAGCCUGGCCGACAUCUACAAGCUCCAUCAGCGCAGAGAGACCGAGGGACCGAACCGACUCGGGGUCUUUCAGCGACUCUUCAGCCUCUUCGGCAGCCGACCCAACAGCAGGAAAACCUCCACGGCCUCGUUCACAGGAGUGGCCUCGGCACUGCGAGUCCACAUGGGCUACAUAGCGGGCCUGGUGCCCGGCACGAAGGCGGCCUCCAGCUGCCAAGUGGACGCCCAGGGCGCGCGCUCCUCGCAGCUGCGCUGCGGCUCCGGCCCGAUCAUCAGCAUCACCAGCGAGGAGGACCGCCGGCUCAGCCUCGGACUGCGCCGCAAGGAGAGCAGCGAGCCCAAGGUCAACUUCAAUCUGCCGAAGGGGAGCUCGAGCUCGUCGCGCGAGAAGAUCCGUGGCUCGCCGCGCUUCCCGCACCGCAUCAUGCCGGCCAACAGCCUGGGCACGAUAGGCCCGAGCCAGCUGAGCGCCCUCGGCACUCCCCACCGCUGGCACUCGAUGGAGGACUCAUGGAAGCCGCGCCUGCAGCCGAGCUCCCGGGACCUCAGCGUCCUCAGUCCCGCCGGCGACGACGCCAAACUCGACAGGGACCUGCGCGAGCUCUUUCGCGAGAACAGCCUUGCCGACUCUGAGAUAGUGGAGCAGAGCGAAGUCGAGCACGAGAGAUCGCAAAGCCCCGUGAUCGUCAUAAUGAAUGUCGAGAGCGAAGUCGUCAGCGCAACCUGCGAGCUGGACCCCCAAGACUGCAACGGCGACGAGCGGCGAGAUGAUGCGCUAUCUCCCGGGACCAUCGACGAUCAGUCCCGAGAUCAAGGAUCUGAUGCGGAUUGAGAGCAGUGCUUUAUUCGUUGUUCCCUAUCCUCUCAUCCACAUUUCACAUUGUUCCCUUCCGUAUUACAACGUGCCAAAAUAGUCCAUGGACCGUGGCGGCCUAUACUUAUGUACGCGAACUCGCAAAGUCUAUGAAAAUAUUUGGAUUGAACAACGAGAAGCUAAAAGCUUCCUAAAAUAUGUAAAUUCUCUCGUCCCUAUAUAUGAAAAACAACUUGCAGCCCUGCUGAAAAUCAAAGCUUACGCAGAAACCCGAGAUUCUACAAGAAUGACUGGCAAUAAAACAUUGUUCAUUAGAUAGAUGAUUGUUUGAAAUGUUGCAAAAGGCGUAUUUUUGGCGGGCGAUACCGUGCAAAGCGCGAUAUAUUAUUAUUAUUAUUAUACUUGUAAGCAAUUAUUUGACCUACAUUUUUUAUCUGAUAAAAAUAAACAAACGUUCACUAUAGUGCUGAUCCUUCCAGGAUUCCCAGGAAUUCAUGCAGAUGUUUUUCAAGAUCUUCGAGUGAAAAUAGAUCAUCCCCUUUUUCGCUCGAACUCCUGGUAGACAAUUAACCAUACAUUCUGGCCAGAAUUAUCAAAUAAACUUCAUUCAGAAAUUCUUGUCAGAAUCCGGUUAAUAUUCGACCAGGGACAACAUCGCGAUUAGCACCUGCAUCUCUGUAUAAUUAUAAAUAAAACAAAUAUGUUGCGAGUGUAUCGUCACAGAAAAUUUACAGUGCGCGCGACCAUUAAUAAUAUUAGAGACCAGGAUCAGUCAGUAAUAAACGGUUUCGAGUGAUUCCGGGGGACCAAUCAACAAAAUCUUGUUCAACUUCGUUCACGAUCGGCCAUAGCAAAUAAGAACGAGAAACAAUAAAGUGUUAAUCUGAAUUCUUGAUGUCGGCUGACAUGGCGUGUGCGCUUGUGUUGUUGCUUAUUUUGCAAUAUAAGAAUUUAACGUUGUUGACAAUUACACUGAACAUUAACAAUACAGUAGUUUUCUCUUCUGUUCCUCACUAUAUUGCCUCGACUAUCAUACUUAUGGAAAUUCAACGCGUAUAUAUUACAGUAUUCACUGCAGAAACGUCUGUAAUAACUGUAUAUAAGUGUUUUAAGUGUGUAAAGUGAAAAAUCUGUCAUUUUUGAUAAAUUUUAACGAUCUAGCGCUUAAUCAGUCACUUAGAAGUAACACAUGUAUAUAAUAAUUAUAAAUUAUUAGUCUAUAUCUCUGUAAACAUUCGUACUGUGCAAUCAUACGUAAUCAAAUAGGAAUGCAGCUAUUGUAUCUAAUCGUAUUUGUACACCAUAUAUAAUUGCGGUGGAUAACAGCACAUCUAUAAUUUGUGGUACAGUGUGGAAGUUUAUUGAUGUACAAUGAUCAAUAACUGCUCUAAGUAAAGAUUUAUAAUUUGACAUUAUUUUAAAAUCCACGAUGUUUAAUGAAUAAACAUAUUGACAUGUAUUUCAUUUAAUGAAAAAUACAAGAUAUAAGUACCUCGAGGAACUCGGAGAAAAACAAGAUUAAAGUGUUCAAAAACUCCAACGCCCAGUUCUAUAGUACCGGCCCAUCGAAACCUUAACGUUUUGAAAACGUUUUCGCGUUUAUUUGAAAAGAACUAAGUACUAGAAAAUGAUAUAAUAAACGUUAUAUUUCAAUAAUCAAUUUAUAAAUAUAUAACGAAAGUUUAUAUUUUUACGUUACGCUGUGUUAUAAAAGUGUAAUAUAUGCAAUUGUAUAAAAAUUAUUUUAAAACGUCGUUAGUUCUAACUCAGCCAAGCUGAUUUUCAGUGACAUGAUGGGUUUUUUCGUAACUCCGUGUCUCAAUGUGUAAAUCGUCUGAUUCUCUACGUACUUUAAGCAAUAAUCAGCGUCGACUGUGCAAUAAUCGUUAAAGAUGAUACAAUAAAAGAAACAUCUAUAUUA